AGAGUUUGAUUCUGGCUCAGGACGAACGCUGGCGGCGUGCUUAACACAUGCAAGUCGAACGGAAAGGCCCUGCUUUUGUGGGGUGCUCGAGUGGCGAACGGGUGAGUAACACGUGAGUAACCUGCCCUUGACUUUGGGAUAACUUCAGGAAACUGGGGCUAAUACCGGAUAGGAGCUCCUGCUGCAUGGUGGGGGUUGGAAAGUUUCGGCGGUUGGGGAUGGACUCGCGGCUUAUCAGCUUGUUGGUGGGGUAGUGGCUUACCAAGGCUUUGACGGGUAGCCGGCCUGAGAGGGUGACCGGCCACAUUGGGACUGAGAUACGGCCCAGACUCCUACGGGAGGCAGCAGUGGGGAAUAUUGCACAAUGGGCGGAAGCCUGAUGCAGCAACGCCGCGUGCGGGAUGACGGCCUUCGGGUUGUAAACCGCUUUCGCCUGUGACGAAGCGUGAGUGACGGUAAAGGGUAAAGAAGCACCGGCUAACUACGUGCCAGCAGCCGCGGUGAUACGUAGGGUGCGAGCGUUGUCCGGAUUUAUUGGGCGUAAAGGGCUCGUAGGUGGUUGAUCGCGUCGGAAGUGUAAUCUUGGGGCUUAACCCUGAGCGUGCUUUCGAUACGGGUUGACUUGAGGAAGGUAGGGGAGAAUGGAAUUCCUGGUGGAGCGGUGGAAUGCGCAGAUAUCAGGAGGAACACCAGUGGCGAAGGCGGUUCUCUGGGCCUUUCCUGACGCUGAGGAGCGAAAGCGUGGGGAGCGAACAGGCUUAGAUACCCUGGUAGUCCACGCUGUAAACGGUGGGUACUAGGUGUGGGGUCCAUUCCACGGGUUCCGUGCCGUAGCUAACGCUUUAAGUACCCCGCCUGGGGAGUACGGCCGCAAGGCUAAAACUCAAAUGAAUUGACGGGG
rnacentral:rRNA from 1 species